ACUAUACCAAUAAGCCUAUAAAAAGAACAGAAAAGCUACAUGCACCUAAUUUAUACACAUGAUCAUGCAGCCAAACAGAUCCCACAUCAAGUUGAUAUCAAACAUAAUUAACUUGCCAAUAAUAUCCGAAGUAACUUAUACAUCAGCAAGUACAAAAACUUAGGCAUUGUAGUAAAUGUUACCAAACGGAAGGGAAAUAAUAUUGUAGUAAUUGUUACCAAACGGAAGGGAAAUAAUAUUGGGU
rnacentral:lncRNA from 1 species